rnacentral:snRNA from 13 species
AUAAUUUCUGAAACGUAGGCUACUUUACAACAUACUCACAUUGCACUCAGCGGGUGCAUCAGUUUAACAUCUCCCCCAAGUGGGAGAGUGUACGUCAAAGUUUGUGGUAGAGGGGGCCUGCGCUAGCCGCGGCCCCUGU